GAUGAACGCUGGCGGCGUGCCUAAUACAUGCAAGUCGAGCGAACAGACGAGGAGCUUGCUCCUCUGACGUUAGCGGCGGACGGGUGAGUAACACGUGGAUAACCUACCUAUAAGACUGGGAUAACUUCGGGAAACCGGAGCUAAUACCGGAUAAUAUAUUGAACCGCAUGGUUCAAUAGUGAAAGACGGUUUUGCUGUCACUUAUAGAUGGAUCCGCGCCGCAUUAGCUAGUUGGUAAGGUAACGGCUUACCAAGGCAACGAUGCGUAGCCGACCUGAGAGGGUGAUCGGCCACACUGGAACGGAGACGCGGUCCAGACUCCUACGGGAGGCAGCAGUAGGGAAUCUUCCGCAAUGGGCGAAAGCCUGACGGAGCAACGCCGCGUGAGUGAUGAAGGUCUUCGGAUCGUAAAACUCUGUUAUUAGGGAAGAACAAAUGUGUAAGUAACUAUGCACGUCUUGACGGUACCUAAUCAGAAAGCCACGGCUAACUACGUG
rnacentral:rRNA from 1 species